rnacentral:rRNA from 1 species
UAACGUUACCAAACUGUUGCCUCGGCGGGAUCUUCUGCCCCGGGUGCGUCGCAGCCCCGGACCAAGGCGCCCGCCGGAGGAAUCAACCAAAACUCUUAUUGUAUACCCCCUCGCGGGUUUUUUUUAUAAUCUGAGCCUUCUCGGCGCCUCUCGUAGGCGUUUCGAAAAUGAAUCAAAACUUUCAACAACGGAUCUCUUGGUUCUGGCAUCGAUGAAGAACGCAGCGAAAUGCGAUAAGUAAUGUGAAUUGCAGAAUUCAGUGAAUCAUCGAAUCUUUGAACGCACAUUGCGCCCGCCAGUAUUCUGGCGGGCAUGCCUGUCCGAGCGUCAUUUCAACCCUCGAACCCCUCCGGGGGGUCGGCGUUGGGGAUCGGCCUUCCUUCACGGGGGCCGUCUCCGAAAUACAGUGGCGGUCUCGCCGCAGCCUCUCCUGCGCAGUAGUUUGCACACUCGCAUCGGGAGCGCGGCGCGUCCACAGCCGUUAAACACCCAACUUUCUGAAAUGUUGACCUCGGAUCAGGUAGGNNNNNNNGCUGAACUU